rnacentral:lncRNA from 10 species
GCCUGAGGCUCGAGUCGCGGCGCCUGGGGCGGUGGCCGCCGGACCAAAGCUGGCCUCUCCCGGCUCCUCCUCCUCGCUCCCCAAGGCCUUUCCCACCGCGUCAUUGUCUCGGUUUAUCUGCAGAUACGUCUACCUAGCAGUCAGCCCAGCAGCGUAAGUGGUGACCAGUGUGGGCCUCUUUGAUCCUGAGACCGAAGGCUCGGCCACUGGCCCUCUCCAUUUGUUCCUUGUUGCCCUCCCUUCAUGAUUCAAUCCAUUAAUUAGGACUUUUCCUACCAGCUGGCAGUUCAGAGCUCCGCAUCCCCAGGCCUCUGAGUCACAGUUCCUGCCUUCAUGAAACUAGGAGUUGGGGCCACUGCAUUCUACUCCUUCGGGACUAUUGUUUCAUUUCUCAGUCCCUCAAACCCUUUAUUGGAUGAACAUGGGGUUAGGACAGCGGUUCUCCACUGCAACAGUUUUGCCUCCCAGGAGACAUUUGGCAAUGUAUGAAUCAUUUUCAGCCUCUCAUCUGGGGUGAGAUGUCAUUGGAAUCUACAGAUGGUGGAGGGCACAGGUCCUAAUUUCAACGUAUUUCCAUAUGUUCUUUAAAAUCACCUGAAACUGCCCUGCGCAG